rnacentral:rRNA from 1 species
GGGUUAGUAGGUUGGUCAUGCCUCUGGUAUGUACUGGUCUCACUGAUUCCUCCUUCCUGAUGAGCCGUAAUGCCAUUAAUUUGGUGUCGCGGAGAUCCAGGACUUUUACCUUGAGAAAAUUAGAGUGUUUAAAGCAGGCAAACGCUUGAAUACGUUAGCAUGGAAUAAUAGAAUAGGACUUUGGUUCUAUUUUGUUGGUUUCUAGGACCGAAGUA